UUGCCCUGCUGGGUUUUGGACUUGCUUGGAGCUUUUUACUCUUAUUUUGAUUCUCUCUCCCUUUUGGAAUGGGAAUGUCUGUCCUAUACCUGUAACACCAUUUUAUCUUGAAAGUGGAUAACUUGCCUCAAUUUCGGAGGUUUACAAGUAAGACUCUGGAAUUUGGACUUUUGAGCUGAUGCUGAUGCUGAAAUGAGUUUUUGGGGCUAUGAGGAUGGAAAAAAACGUAUAUGUAUUUAAAGUUGUGAGAAAGACAUAAGUUUUGGAGAUCCAAGGGCAGAACACUAUGACGUGAAAGUUUGUUCCCUCUGAAAUUCAUGUUGCAUGAACUUUGUCCCCAGUGUGGCAGUAUCGAGAGGUAAGGCCUUCAAGAGGUAAUUGGAUCACGGCCCUCAGGAGGGAAUUUAUCAAUUAAUGGAUUAAUGGAUUAAUGAAUUGUCAUGGGAGAGAUAUUAGUGGUUUCAAAAGCAGAGAAAGAGAGACCUGAGCUAGCACACUCCUCCCCUUCACCAUGCGAUGCCCUUCACUACCUUGCGACUCUACAGCGAGUCACCACCAGCAAUGAGACGCUCAUCAGAUAUGGAUCCUCAACCUUGAAAUGCUCAUCUCCAUACUGCUUUGAAAUAAUCAUUAAAACUAUACAUUUAACAAGAUCGGAGUCAUAUGGUGCGCAUCUGCCAGCACAGCAAUAAUACAAGAGGACAUCACCAAGGGAAUGAGCCUAGACCAAGAAAGGUACUACAAACUGGGUCUGAAGCACUGUGAACAGGGUGGAAGAAGAGCAAAACAUAAAACCUGUUUCAGAGAAUGAGUGACAAGUUUUGUUGGGUCAAAUACAGCGACUGCUCAUGUA